rnacentral:lncRNA from 1 species
AAAUAACUUACUCUCUCUUCAAUUCUAUACUAUCAAUCCCAAGAUCUUCACUCCUCAAGAUUUUUAAUAUAAUCCCAAAAAUAAAUGCUACCUCAACAUAAUCUAAUAUUGAAUAAUUGGAAAAAAAAUUAGGGAUUUGAUGUUUUUCAUUAACAUUUUUUGUUGUACGUGUCUUUCAACAUGUUUAUUCUAUUCUGAAAAAAAUAUACGGAAUAUCUAUGGAUCUACUAUGGUCUAUGAAUGAUUCCUUGUUUAAUGUUGAAGGAUGUGAAAUGUGAUAAAUCGUGCUCAGGUGGACGUCCGCACGAACUUCGAAAUUAAACGUUGUGAAAACCUUUUUAUAAUAAAUAUUGUAAAAUCUUAUAUAACAUUGUCAAUGUGCGCGUCUACACGACUCUAUAGAUGUAGAAUUUCUUAGGUGUAUUUAUAUAAUUGUGUUUUAUUAAGAGAUCUCUUAGUGCAUUUUUGGGAGUUAGGAUUAAAUAUGGAAUUAGAUUAAUUUUUGGAUUAAAUAUUUUAUUCUAUAUUUGGCUACUUUGUUUGGAUUGAAUUAAGGAGGACUAAAUUUAAAUUUAUUCCUCAAAUCAUGGGAUUAACAAUCCCAAUUUCUAAGUGGGUUUAGAUGGGAUUAGAAUAAGAGAAAAAAUUUAUUCAUAUUUCUUUCAUAGAUAAUAUUAUUUUUUAUUUGUAACCUAAAAUUUAAUUACUUAAUUAAUUAUUUUAUUCAUGAUUUACUUGAAUUUAUUUUUUAUUUUGUUUUUAUAGUCUAAUUAAAUUGGUACUUUUACUCCAAUAAAAUUAACUAUUUAAUAAUUUGUUACAAUAAUUGAUUGUAUUAAAUUUAAUAAUCACCAAUGUAAUAUUAAAAAUAAUCAUGGAAAUUAAUAAUACAAGUAAAUAAUUGAUUUUAUAUGUACAUUAUUUGCUAAAUUUUUGAUAAAAUAAAAUAUAUAUCUAAAAUAUCUGAUAAAAAUUAAUUAAAUAAUUAAAUAGUUUUAUUAAUUUAUAUUUGUUUACUAUAAUUAUAACUACCCAAUAACUAAUUUACUACAUAUUUAAUGCUCUUGUUAAUUACCUUUAAAUUAAUUUUAUUUAUUACUCUUAAAUAUUCAUAAAUAGUUUUUUGUAUUUAAAUAUGAUUUAACAUUGUCCAAUCCGAUAUUGUACCAAAUAUAGUACAAUAUAUAAUAUAAUCCAGCUUAAUCUAAUCCAACUUAAUUCAAUCCAAUCCAAUCUUAUGUGCUAAACAUAACUUGAAGUUAUUAAAGUUAGGGAUAAGUUAAAAGACAAGAUAAACAUAUAUUCUAAUACACUACAUGACAAAAUACACAGAAUUAAAAUAUGUAUUUUGCUUGUCAUUAGUUUAUUCCCUUGCUGAAUAAUGUUUUAAUCAUGAAUCUGUAACCAAAUUAAGGUCAGAGAAGAGUUAAGAGACAAAAAAACACAUACUCCAAUGCAGUGCACUUUGUCCAGUAAUAUAUUGAAAUCUGUAUUUUUUAAUCUUUUAUCUUAUCUCUAACUUUAAUAUCAUCAAAGAUCCCUGAUUGGAAACUCACUCUCUCAUAUAUAUAUAUUUCUCCAGUGAGGGUUAGGAUGCUGCUAACAAAUAAAAAAAGCCACCUAUUUCAAUACACUAACAGAUAAAAAAAACACAAUUUUUAAUAUAUUGAAAUCUAUAUUUUUUUUGUAUUAUAUAUAUAUAAUAUAAUAAUUUUACAAUAAAAGAUCCCUUCAGUUAUUAAGUUAAGGGAUAACUUAGAAGACUAAAAAAAACAUACAAUCCAAUAUACUACAGAAUAAAGUAUGUUGUAUUACUAUUUAUCUUUUAGUUUAUCCAUACUAUUUUUCGUUCAAUUUAUCCCUUAACUUAAUAAUUUAAGACAUUUCUUAUUAGAUUAUAUUUAUAUACCAUAGUAAUUUAGGUGCAGAUGCCAAAAUAUAUAUAUUGUGUGGAUUCGCGAUAACACCAUAUAUCGUGUUAAUAAUAUAAUACUCACUAUUAAUAAUUGUGACUAAUUAAA